rnacentral:rRNA from 1 species
CGCUAUGCAUGCAGUCGAACGGGCGAAGGGGCUUCGGCCCCCUAGCUAGUGGCAGACGGCUGAGUAAUACGUAAGUGAUCUACCCCGGAGAGGGGGAUAAGCCGAAGAAAUCCGGUCUAAUACCCCGUACGCUCCCUCUAUUACGGUAGAGAGAGGAAAGUUCCGGCGCUCUGGGAGGAGCUUGCGGCCUAUCAGGUAGUUGGUGGGGUAAAAGCCUACCAAGCCGAAGACGGGUAACCGGUGUGAGAGCACGAUCGGUCAGAGGGGGACUGAGACACGGCCCCCACUCCUACGGGAGGCAGCAGCAGGGAAUCUUGCGCAAUGGGCGAAAGCCUGACGCAGCGACACCGCGUGGGGGAUGAAGGCUCUCGAGUUGUAAACCCCUUUUCUCGGGGAAGAGACAGGACGGUACCCGAGGAAUAAGGUUCGGCUAACUACGUGCCAGCAGCCGCGGUAAUACGUAGGAACCGAGCGUUGUCCGGAUUUACUGGGCGUAAAGUGCGCGUAGGCGGUUCGUUAAGUCUCAUGUGAAAUCUCCCGGCUCAACUGGGAGGGGUCAUGGGAUACUGGCAGACUUGAGUACAGCAGAGGGGAGUGGAAUUCCCGGAGUAGUGGUGGAAUGCGUAGAUACCGGGAGGAACACCAGAGGCGAAGGCGACUCCCUGGGCUGUGUCUGACGCUGAGGCGCGAAAGCGUGGGUAGCAAACAGGAUUAGAUACCCUGGUAGUCCACGCCCUAAACGAUGGAUACUAGGUAUGGGGGGUAUCGACCCCCUCCGUGCCGGAGCUUACGCGUUAAGUAUCCCGCCUGGGGAGUACGGCCGCAAGGCUAAAACUCAAAGGAAUUGACGGGGGCCCGCACAAGCAGCGGAGCGUGUGGUUUAAUUCGAUGAAAAGCGCAGACCUUACCAGGCUUGACAUGCUUUCUGAA